CCCAGCUCCUCAGGAGGUUGUGCCACCCACCAAAAAAUGGAUCCCAUCCAGAAUACAUUACCUUUAGUCAUCAUGUCUCCUGUGGCUCUUCUUGGCUGUGACAGUUUCUCAGCUUUCCCAGUUUUAAUGAACUUGCCAUUUUCAUCAGAUUGUACCAAGACCUACUAUCAAUAUGACUUAUGACUAGUGGUGCUGACCUUGAUCACCUGGCUGAGGUAGUUCUUGUCAGGCUUCUCCACUGUCGAGUUGCUCUCCCCAUCCCCCUUUUCCAUAUUGUACUCUUUGAAAGAAAGUCACUAUAUGCAGCCCUUCCUUAAAAAUAUUAAAAUGAACUAGCUUAAUUAAGUUCUUUCUUACAUUUAGGUGUAAAUACCUCUGAGGUUUUUUUCUUUUAAAAAAUGAUUAUCUAUGUAAUACAUACUCACUGCACAAGACUUUAAAAAUGCAAGAAAAGUAUAAAGCAGCAGCAAAUAGAACUACCCAUAAUUCCAUCUGUCACAAGCAACCAUUUCUAGCUUUUUGUCAUAUUUCCUUCCAGUUUUUUUUCUUCUGCAUAAAAUAACUAUUUUUAUUUCUAUUUAUUUAUUUUUUUGAGACAGAGUUUCACUCUGUCACCAGGCUGGAGUGCCGUGGCACAAUCUCGGUUCUCUACAACCUCCACCUCCCAGGUUCAAGGGAUUCUCCUGCCUCAGCCUCCUGAGUAGCUGGGACUACAGGCGUGCACCACCAUGCCCAGCUAAUUUUUGUAUUUUUAGUAGAGACGGGGUUUCACCAUGUUGGCCAGGAUGGUCUUGAUCUCUUGACCUUGUGAUCCACCCGCCUCGGCCUCCCAAAGUGCUGGGAUUACAGGCAUGAGCCAUCGCGCCUGGCCAAAAUAACUAUUUUUAAAUAGCACUUGCUUGAAAUUAUUUCAUAGGUGGUAAAAAUAUUUUAUCUUUGAAUAUGGCAAAGAAGAUGGAUUCAUAUAAAACCAGAGCAGAUCUUGGUGGUACUUCAAGAUAUAAACUACCAACCCAAUAGAUAAUUUCUGAAAAUAACAUUUUAGAGUCUCUUCCUCUAUUUUUGAGAAGCUUGAAUAUUUACAAAUACAGCAUUCACUGUGAGACUUCUUGUUUCUUUUCCUUUCUAAGACUUUUAACUUGUUGUUUAUUUUACUAUUACAUGAAACACAUUUUAUUUUAAUUUUUAAAGUUUUAGUGUUUUUUGAGACAAGGUCUCAUUCUGUUGCCCAGUUUGGAGUGCAGUGGCAUGAACAUGGCUCACUGCAGCCUCAACUUUUUGGGCUCAAGUAAUCCUCUAGCUUCAGCUUCACGAGUAGCUGGGACUACAGGUAUACACCACCACACCUACCUAAUUUAUUCUUACAGUUUUUAGAGACGGGGGUCUCGCUGUGUUGCCCAGGCUGGUCUUGAACUCCUGGGCUCAAGCAAUCUUCCUGCCUCAGCCUCCCAAAGUGCUGGGAUUACAGGGAUGAGUCACCAUACCCAGCCUUAUUUAAAUAAGGUUUGAGGAAACUUGGGUAGCUGGUUAAAACUCUGGCAAUGAUCUAGGUUUCAAAUCAUCAAAUUCCUUUUUGCAUGGUGUAUAGACUCAUGACAACUCUUAUUUUUUUAAAGACUUUAUUUUGUACAUGCUUCUUAUUAAAAAAUUAAUACAGAAAAGUACAAAGUAAAAUCCCAAAAUUCUAUCACCUAAAAAAACCAUUAUUAACAUUAUUCCACAAACCUUCCCUUUGCAUAUAUACACAGAGAGAUAAAUUUACACAAAAGGCUCACACAUACCAUACAUAGUUACUAAAUGAGGAUGAAGCAAAAUGAAGAAAUUGAAGAAAAUGAAGCUGAAACAAAAUGAAGGAAUUACCAAAUUUUAGCUAAAUGUUCUUUUGCAAGACACUUUAGUUCCUAACAAUCCCUUUGAAGUUUUGAAAAAAGAUUAUGAAAAGCAUUAAGAGUUUGAAAGUCUACAUAAUUAACUUUUUUUUUUUUUUUUUUUUGAGACAGGGUCUUGCUCUGUUGCCCAUGCUGGAGUGCCUUGGUGUGAUCAUGGCUCACUGCAGCCUUGACCUCCCAGGCUCAACUGGUCCUCCCACUUCAGCCUCCGAAGUAGCUGGGACCACAGAUGUGUGUCACCAAGCCCGGCUAAUUUUUUAAAAUUCUUUUGUAGAGACAGGAUCUUCCAGUGUUGCCCAGGCUGGUCUUGAACUCCUGGAGGCUGGUCUUGAACUCCUGGGCUCAAAAACAAUCCUCCUACCUCAGGCUUCCAAAGUGCCAGGAUUACAGGUGUGAGCCACCGUGGCUGGCUGGAAAACUCUUCUAAUAGUGGCUGGCAUGUAGUAAGUGCUUAUAGUAAAUGUAAGCCAAUGCUAUUAUAGAGGAAUAAUGGUGAGCAUCUGGGCCCACGUAUGAUAUUGAAAUCUGUCACUCACAAAAUAAUCUCUUUGUCUCUCAUUCAUCUCAGAAUAAUUUUCCUGUUAAAUCUACCAGCUCCUGAGGGGCCCUGAGGGUAUAACCAAUGAGUAUGUGGGCACCAAUGUAAUGAAUGUGUGAAUAGGUGAUUCUGUCAUCUGUUUAUAAGAAUGACCAGAAUACAAAAUUCUAGCCUUUUUACAAUCCUAAACAUAUACUAUGUGCUACCAAUAACAGCAACAAUCACCAUCAUGCAUGUCACUUACAUGUACACACUAACAUAAAGAACUUUAUAUCUCUGCUUUAAAAUCCUCUUUAAAAGUAAACUAUUAGCCUGGGUAACAUGGUGAGACCUUGUCAAUGAAAUAAAAAAAUUAGCCAGGCACCUGUAGGCCCAGCUGCUCUG
rnacentral:lncRNA from 10 species